rnacentral:rRNA from 1 species
UGCCCCAAGUUCGAAGCGGUAGAGAGAAGCUUGCUUCUCUUGAGAGCGGCGGACGGGUGAGUAAAGCCUAGGAAUCUGCCUGGUAGUGGGGGAUAACGUUCGGAAACGAACGCUAAUACCGCAUACGUCCUACGGGAGAAAGCAGGGGACCUUCGGGCCUUGCGCUAUCAGAUGAGCCUAGGUCGGAUUAGCUAGUUGGUGAGGUAAUGGCUCACCAAGGGGGCGAUCCGUAACUGGUCUGAGAGGAUGAUCAGUCACACUGGAACUGAGACACGGUCCAGACUCCUACGGGAGGCAGCAGUGGGGAAUAUUGGACAAUGGGCGAAAGCCUGAUCCAGCCAUGCCGCGUGUGUGAAGAAGGUCUUCGGAUUGUAAAGCACUUUAAGUUGGGAGGAAGGGCAGUUACCUAAUACGUAAUUGUUUUGACGUUACCUUCAGAAUAAGCACCGGCUAACUCUGUGCCAGCAGCCGCGGUAAUACAGAGGGUGCAAGCGUUAAUCGGAAUUACUGGGCGUAAAGCGCGCGUAGGUGGUUUGUUAAGUUGAAUGUGAAAUCCCCCGGGCUCAACCUGGGAACUGCAUCCAAAACUGGCAAGCUAGAGUAUGGUAGAGGGUGGUGGAAUUUCCUGUGUAGCGGUGAAAUGCGUAGAUAUAGGAAGGAACACCAGUGGCGAAAGGCGACCACCUGCACUGAUACUGACACUGAGGUGCGAAAGCGUGGGGAGCAAACAGGAUUACAUACCUCUGGUAGUCCACGCCGUAAACGAUGUCAACUAGCCGUUGGGAGCCUUGAUCUCUUAUGGGCAGCUAACGCAUUAAGUGACCGCCUGGCGAUACGGCGCAGGUUAAACUCAAAUGAAUUGACGGGGCCCGCACAGCGGGGACACGUGGCUAAUUCGAGCACGCGAAAGAAACUUACCAGGCCUUGACAUCCAAGAACUUUCCUAGAGAUAAAUUGGUUGCCUUCCGGAGCAUUGAAACAGUGCUGGAAUGGCUUGUCGUCAGCUUCG